CUACGUUUAGACAAGGCAAGUGAAUUGAGCAAGUCGCUUGAAUCGAACGCGAACUGAACGUGUAAACACCUUAAUUCAAUUCACUUGAACGAAAAGAAAGUUGAACAUGUUCAACUUUUGGCAAGUCAAUUGAAUUCAACUGAGUUGUUCAAUUCACUUGCCCUGUCAAAACGUAGCAUAAUCGUGGAUAGGUUUUAUUUUAAUCAUUUUAGUGAUUUGUCGCAUUUAAACAUAGCAUAGAAUAAAAAAUAUACUAUCAAAAAUUAAAUUAUAAACUGAGGCAGAUUUGUAGUUGAAUAUAUGAAAUUGUAUUACUGAAAAUUUUGAUUCACCAAACAGAUAGAAGUUCUGCGACGCGGCGUAUGGCGGAUCAUAAAAGGAAAGUAAUUAACGUGCCUCCACGCAAACUCUAGAAAAAACGAAAUUUUCCACCUUGUUUUGGAGGCUGCAGCUGCAAACGUUUUCCUACUGUGGCCAAUGCUUGAAAGCCACCAAGGAAGCCAUCAAUCGGCGGAAAAUAUUCAUCGGACGAAAGCAGAUUUCAAGCUGAUCGGCCAGAAGGCUAAAAUGAAGGAAAACUAAAAGUGUUUUCCCAAACGGUAUUGAUGCUGGACCAGGACGGGUUCAACUGAAAAACAUCUUCCUUAACCCGCUUCACUCGAUGGAGAAUGUUCGUGGUGGUGUUCAAUGACAAGUUUGCUGAGCAUCGGUGGUAAUGGGACACAGUAUCUGGUGCGAUUUUCCCAGGGUUUGGAAUGGUGUAUUCAAUGCCGUACAAUUGCACCAGGAAUAGCGACGAAGGAAGACUUCCUGCCCAAUUAUGCACACCGGAUCAGGAGGAGACUCUGCUAAGGAAAAAGGGAAGUGGGAUAGUUCGAGGAGCCGCUGGAUUGCUGGAAUACAAUUGAGCUGGAUGCCGUUGUUGCGAUAUGGUUUCACAAUGCGAUGGCCAUCAUCGAAUUUUAGCGCAGAGCAGGAGGAUUUGACGUGGACGCCAUAAUCGAAUUUAUCAAAAUAUAUUUAAACGUUUUAUCAUGUAACUCGUGUAACUCAGUCACCUUAUAUGUUGUUGGCUCGGUUGUUAGUUUAAUAAAAUAUAAUAGAAGUAACUAAAAUUUUAUCAAAGGAAACAGCAA